AAUGGGACCCUCCUAUGGGACACUUUCUCUUCUGUUGUAUGAUCACUGCUAUCAAAUCUGGACUGCUAUAAUCAGAUUAGCUUUUCUAAGAUCCGUCUUUAACAAAGCCGUCCUACUCAAGCCUCUCUUCUGUUGCCUGAUGGUUAUUAGCUUGAGCUUGAACCCUGGACCAGCAUUUCUCCGUAUGGAUUCUACCUCUCUUCUUUCAUUCCAGUGACAAUUCUCGUCCAAUCCAGUCUCCUGGCCAUCAAUAAACAUACUAUAGGGUGUGUGUGUGUGUGUGUGUGUGUGCACGUGCCCACUUGCACCCUUCUCCUCAAUUAGAUUCUAAAAUUACUUAAGAGUAGGAAAUGCUAUUAUGGAAAGAACAUGGGCUUUGCACUCAGACCUAGUGCUGAAACUAUUAUACAGCAUGGCAGUUAGGUAACCUGUCUGACCACCAGUUACCCCAGCUGUAAAGGAGAAGUGUCUCUCACACAGUGCUGGGCAUGUAAUAAAUGUUAGUUUCUUUUCUUCCUUUUGGGUCCUCUCCAGCACCCACUAGAAUGCUGAACACAGCAGGGUCUUGGCCAAACACACAAGAAGACUGCAAUCAUAUAAUCAAAGUAAUUCAUUUCAAAGUUGGUUCCUUAACUACAGCUAUUCUUUGAGGCCACAGGAAAUGAAGAAACCUUUCCUCUUUCGUUAGAAUCACAGCCUCUGGUUAACAUUUUAGAGAUUUCCUCUGUACUAUUACCAAGGCAAGAACUAGACUCUGGAUUUUUUUCAGCCAUUCAUCCUGUAUUUUUAUUUCUGGUAUCUCAGACUCAUCUUUCAUGCAGCCAGAACCUCAACACCAGCUCCUGAGGCUUAAUUUUCUUUUUGUUUUUAAAUCAGAAUUCCAUGCUGCUGUGCAAAUAGCCUGGCAGGAGAGAUCUGGUGUGUGAGGGUCUGAGUCCUCCAGCUGGAGAGUGAGGAGUUGUCCAGCUUCCUCCAGGCCUGCAGAGUGGACGUCUGGGGCCAGAUUGAUUUGCUGCUGCAGCUCUGUGCUUGAACACCUAUUCCGGUAAUUAAGCUGAAACCAUGGCAUGACUUGAUUUAGAGAGAUGGAUGUUAGCUGCUUAGAUCAGCACGUUCUAGGAACCUUCCAUGAAAUGAUUUUCCUACAAACCGCCAUCACUUUAAGAAACUCUCAGAGGUGAUAACCCUAAACACCUAUUUAACAACCAAGUCGUCACGAAGAUAGUACAAAUCAAGAAGAAAAAAAAAAGAGCACAGUUUCAGAGGGAAUAUUGGAUGCAAUUAAAGUUAUUGGUGAUUCACUUACCAUGGGGCAGGGAGAACCCAAGCACAAGGCAUUGCAAAGUGUAACAUAACACAGACAGCAAGACAAUCCAAGGAGGAUCCCAUUAAACGCUGGUAUAAUUGAAGAUCACUGAAGAAUCCAAUGUGACUUACAGGAAAGUAUAUGGGGAACAAGCAGAGUUCCGCCAGGACAUCCGCUCCAGGAUGAGGAGGGACAACAUGGAAAUGAAUGAAGCCAGUGCACUAGGUGGAGCAUUCAUGCAUCUGAAAGCCAGAUCUGAGGGAAAGUGUGACAUGAAAGCAAACAUGUGAUGUCAUAGAAGACAAAAAAUACUGAAGGGCAUCUUGUACUACAAAUGUCUUCUGUUCAGCUGAGCACCCCCUGAUAAAUCAUGGUGUGAGUUCAUCCUCAUAAAACUAUGUAAAUCUAAGAUUUAGGAUGAAUACUAAGAUUUCCAAGAGUGAUCAACAUUUAUUUUGCAAUGGAUGCUGCCAAUGGCCAGAUUUGUGCAAGAAUGAUGAAGAGACGAUCUGAGUCUGUUAGCCAUACAAUUUUUUAUUGUCAAGGUUCAUUUCUUUAGAAUACUUUCAUAAGAUACAUGAA